GUCUGGAGGAAUGGGUUGGAGAGGGACAUAGAGGAAUGGCUGUAGAUAUUUAUUUGUCCUCUCAAAUGGAGGACAAAGCCAAGCAGCUCAUAAAUGGCUUUCAAAGAGUCACAGAAUCACAGAGUGGUGAUGCCAAAAAGCCAAUGCAAGACGGAAGAGUCGGCAGAGAUACACAGAAAGGGGAUUGCAGCAGCCCUGGCCAACAGCACAAGCUGAAGGCAGGCUCCUUCAGUUUCUACCCGGAAAACCCAACAAAGCCUGAAUACUUCUGGAAACCUGCUGCAGGGAAGAGAAAUGAAGAUCUCUCCAUAGGAAUGGAAAGCUAAAAUAGCUGUGUUUCAUGGACCUCACUGAAAUGACAUU